CAGCCGCCACGGUAAUACGUAGGGUGCGAGCGUUAAUCGGAAUUACUGGGCGUAAAGCGUGCGCAGGCGGUGAUGUAAGACCGAUGUGAAAUCCCCCGGCUUAACCUGGGAACUGCAUUGGUGACUGCAUUGCUAGAGUAUGGCAGAGGGGGGUGGAAUUCCACGUGUAGCAGCGAAAUGCGUAGAGAUGUGGAGGAACACCGAUGGCGAAGGCAGCCCCCUGGGCCAAUACUGACGCUCAUGCACGAAAGCGUGGGGAGCAAACAGGAUUAGAUACCCCUGUAGUCCCUGUCUCUUAUAA
rnacentral:rRNA from 1 species